rnacentral:rRNA from 1 species
UACGUAGGUGGCAAGCGUUGUCCGGAAUUAUUGGGCGUAAAGCGCGCGCAGGCGGUCCUUUAAGUCUGAUGUGAAAGCCCACGGCUCAACCGUGGAGGGUCAUUGGAAACUGGGGGACUUGAGUGCAGAAGAGGAGAGUGGAAUUCCACGUGUAGCGGUGAAAUGCGUAGAGAUGUGGAGGAACACCAGUGGCGAAGGCGACUCUCUGGUCUGUAACUGACGCUGAGGCGCGAAGGUCAGGGGAGCAGACGGG